rnacentral:rRNA from 1 species
GUGGGGAAUAUUGGACAAUGGGCGCAAGCCUGAUCCAGCCAUGCCGCGUGAGUGAUGAAGGCCUUAGGGUUGUAAAGCUCUUUCAGUGGGGACGAUAAUGAAGGUACCCACAGAAGAAGCCCCGGCUAACUUCGUGCCAGCAGCCGCGGCAAUACGAAGGGGGCUAGCGUUGUUCGGAUUUACUGGGCGUAAAGCGCACGUAGGCGGAUCGUUAAGUCGGGGGUGAAAUCCUGGAGCUCAACUCCAGAACUGCCUUCGAUACUGGCGAUCUUGAGUCCGGAAGAGGUGAGUGGAACUCCUAGUGUAGAGGUGGAAUUCGUAGAUAUUAGGAAGAACACCAGUGGCGAAGGCGGCUCACUGGUCCGGUACUGACGCUGAGGUGCGAAAGCGUGGGGAGCAAACAGGAUUAGAUACCCGAGUAGUCC